rnacentral:rRNA from 1 species
UACGGGGGGGGCAAGCGUUGUUCGGAAUUACUGGGCGUAAAGGGCUCGUAGGCGGCCAACUAAGUCAGACGUGAAAUCCCUCGGCUUAACCGGGGAACUGCGUCUGAUACUGGAUGGCUUGAAUCCGGGAGAGGGAUGCGGAAUUCCAGGUGUAGCGGUGAAAUGCGUAGAUAUCUGGAGGAACACCGGUGGCGAAGGCGGGUCUCUGGACAGUUCCUGACGCUGAGGCACGAAGGUCAGGGGAGCAAACGGG